GAUGAACGCUGGCGGCGUGCUUAACACAUGCAAGUCGAACGGAAAGGCCCAAGCUUGCUUGGGUACUCGAGUGGCGAACGGGUGAGUAACACGUGGGUGAUCUGCCCUGCACUUCGGGAUAAGCCUGGGAAACUGGGUCUAAUACUGGAUAGGACCACUUCUUGGAUGUUGUGGUGGAAAGUUUUUUCGGUGUGGGAUGAGCUCGCGGCCUAUCAGCUUGUUGGUGGGGUAAUGGCCUACCAAGGCGUCGACGGGUAGCCGGCCUGAGAGGGUGUACGGCCACAUUGGGACUGAGAUACGGCCCAGACUCCUACGGGAGGCAGCAGUGGGGAAGAUUGCACAAUGGGCGCAAGCCUGAUGCAGCGACGCCGCGUGGGGGAUGACGGCCUUCGGGUUGUAAACUCCUUUCGCUAGGGACGAAGCGUUUUGUGACGGUACCUGGAGAAGAAGCACCGGCUAACUACGUG
rnacentral:rRNA from 1 species